rnacentral:tRNA from 1 species
GGUUUCAUAGAGUAGUGGUUAGCACGUCUGCUUUACAUGCAGAAGGUCCUGGGCUAGAGCCCCAGAGGAGCCA